rnacentral:lncRNA from 1 species
CACAUCAAUAAUUUUCAAACUUUAGUGUGCAUCAGAAUUAACUGGAUGGCCUUUGCUAAACACCUUCAGUAGGUCUGGGGUAGGACUCAAUAAUUUGCUUAUCUAUGUUCUCAGGUGACACUAAUGCUGUUCUAGUAACCACGCUGGACUUAAUCAGUGUUUUUAAAACUGAAUUGUAACCUGUUAAUGGAUCUGUGAAUCAGUUUAAUGGGUUGCACCAACAUUUUGAAAGUAAAAUGAUAAAACAUGAGAGUAUAACAUAGUAUAUCAUGUCAUGAUAUGAAACUGUUUCAGGUGUUUGCAAACAGCUAUGUACUCAAUCACAUACUUUUAGAAUGGGGACUCAGGCAGAAUAGUAUGACAGCCUAUGCUGUAUUUACUCUUGAGGGUGCAGUCUUAGUGAUUUGGAGCACAGACUAAAGACAGAAUGCCUGAGCAUUAUUUUACUGUCUAGUAAGUACUUUCUAUUAUAGUUUUAGCAAAGGACAUGCUUCACAUUUCUACUUAAUUUUAUAAUUGAUUUUAAUUGCUUUGUAAUACUUUGAUUCUGUUUAUGCAGUAUUUUAAUGUGUUUUUUUCUAGAGAUUAGAUGGAUCAAUAAAAGGAGAACUGAGGAAACAAGCUCUAGAUCAUUUUAAUGCUGAGGGAUCAGAGGAUUUUUGCUUUUUGCUGUCCACAAGAGCUGGAGGUCUAGGGAUUAAUUUAGCCUCUGCUGACACUGUUGUUAUAUUUGAUUCCGAUUGGAAUCCACAGAAUGA